GACGAACGCUGGCGGCGUGCUUAACACAUGCAAGUCGAGCGGUAAGGCCCGUUUCGGGGGUACGACCGAGCGGCGAACGGGUGAGUAACACGUGGGUGACCGUGCCCUCAGCUCGUGGGAUAAGCCUGGGAAACCGGGUCUAAUACCGGAUAUGACUCCAUGACGCAUGUUGUGGGGUGGAAAGCCUUGUGCGGCUGAGGAUGGGCCCGCGGGCCCUAUCAGCUUGUUGGUGGGGUGAUGGCCUACCAAGGCGACGACGGGUAGCCGGCCU
rnacentral:rRNA from 1 species